UAACUAUCCAACCUGGCUUGACUUGGGUUUACCUGAUUAGCAGCUCAACCGUGUAUGUGUUGAGGGAGGUAGGUAGCAGCUACCUUCUCCGUCCCUUCCUUCACAGGUCAAUUAAAAGCAUUGCUAGCUCUUCAUCACCUCGACAUACGAUCAAGACAGAUCAAAUGAGUUCUUCCGACCCGCAGGGGCCAACUCCUUUCGCCGGAGACGUCGGCGCAAUCAAGUUAUGUUUGAUGGAGACACAUCCAGGUCCAGGGGAAUCACCUCAACAACCUAAAACUGCGGAUUCUCCAGACCGCAGCCAAGAAAGUACUGGCUGCGUGGAGGACUGGUUGGAUAUUUUCUGUUGCUGCUGCCUCUUCAAAGCCUGCUUCUGAUUGAUGAUCAGAACCAUAUUAUUGUGUAUGAAUUGAAGGGCGCUGAUCGAAUAUAUAUUUGCCACGAAGAGAUUUCAGAAUUUCCUAUCUCUUUCAAUUGUCUGCGUUUUCGUUCUAAAUAUAUAAUAUAUAUGGACUAAUUUGUUUAUGUUCGUUUAAUGGGAAGCUGCUUCGAUGUCGACUGUACGUGAUCAUGAGUUUCAUUUGAAUUCAGUUAACAAGGAAGGGGAGGAAGGAGAAAGGGUUAGUGGCCUUAUUAACAUUCAAACCAAGGAGUGGAAGAAAGAGAGAGUCAAUCAGAUGUUUAAAGAGGAUGAAGCUGAAGUCAUUUGCUGCUUGCCAAUUAGCAAACUGGGAGCUGAAGACAGGUUGAUACGGGGAUAUACAAAGGAUGGAAUUUUCACUGUGAGAAGCGCAUAUUAUGUGGAUUUGCUUAGAAAGAGGAGAGCUCAGGGAGAAACCUCGACAAAAUUGGUACAUGAUGAGAGCUGGAAACACAUUUGGGGAAUGAAAGUGGCAGGGGUGGUAAAAAUGUUUCUAUGGAAGGCAGGAAAUAACAUCUUGCCUACUAAGGAUAACCGCCUAAAAAAAGGAAUAUUAAAUAACCCCUGCUGCCCCAUAUGCUUGUCCAAGGAGGAAUCAGUUACUCAUUUGCUCUGGAAUUGCCCUACUUCAAAUGAUGUGUGGUCUGUGGACCAAAGCCCCGUGCAAAAAUGGAAUUCAGAAGAACUAGAUUUUAUGAAACUUUGGUAAAAGUUUCAGAGUAGUUUGGGCCAAGCAGACCUCGAAUGGGUUGCAAUAACUAUGCGUAGCCUUUGGUUGCGAAGGAAUAAAUACAUAUAUGAAGAGGCUUUCCAAAGUCCGGGCAAGGUUGCUGAACUGGCUAGGAUCAGUAUAGAAGAAUUUCAUGCAGCAAAUGAUUUGGGAAGAACUCAAAGCAGCCCAGAAACUGGUGGGAGGAGGCCGAAGAAAUGAAGGAAACCACCUGAUGACUACGUGAAGAUUAAUUGGGAUGCAGCUUUAAACAAGCAUACAAGGACUACGGGGAUUGGCAUCAUUCUGAGAGAUGGUAGAGGUGAAGUUCUACUCUCUGCUUGUGAGAAGAAAGAGAUGGUGGUACUGGAACCAGUUCUGGCCGAGUGCUAUUCUCUUUGGAAGGCAAUAGAGGUUUGUAAUGCCUUAAACAUCAGAAAGGUUGUAAUAGAAGGGGAUGCUCUUACAGUUGUUAAUGCGGUAAAUAAUAUAUAUGGACUAAUUUGUUUAUGUUCGUUUAAUUAUAGGAAGCUGCUUCGAUGUCGCCUGUACGUACGUGACCAUGAGUUUCAUUUGAAUUCAAUAUGUCUCCUUUUUCUGCUC